ACGCGUGGAACCUUACCAGGUCUUGACAUCCUCUGACACUCCUAGAGAUAGGACGUUCCCCUUCGGGGGACAGAGUGACAGGUGGUGCAUGGUUGUCGUCAGCUCGUGUCGUGAGAUGUUGGGUUAAGUCCCGCAACGAGCGCAACCCUUGAUCUUAGUUGCCAGCAUUCAGUUGGGCACUCUAAGGUGACUGCCGGUGACAAACCGGAGGAAGGUGGGGAUGACGUCAAAUCAUCAUGCCCCUUAUGACCUGGGCUACACACGUGCUACAAUGGAUGGUACAAAGGGCUGCAAGACUGCGAAGUCAAGCGAAUCCCAUAAAACCAUUCUCAGUUCGGAUUGUAGGCUGCAACUCGCCUACAUGAAGCUGGAAUCGCUAGUAAUCGCGGAUCAGCAUGCCGCGGUGAAUACGUUCCCGGGCCUUGCACACACCGCCCGU
rnacentral:rRNA from 1 species